rnacentral:rRNA from 1 species
AUUGAACGCUGGCGGCAUGCUUUACACAUGCAAGUCGAACGGUAACAGGCCGCAAGGUGCUGACGAGUGGCGAACGGGUGAGUAAUGCAUCGGAACGUGCCCAGUCGUGGGGGAUAACUACUCGAAAGAGUAGCUAAUACCGCAUACGAUCUAUGGAUGAAAGCGGGGGACCGUAAGGCCUCGCGCGAUUGGAGCGGCCGAUGUCAGAUUAGGUAGUUGGUGUGGUAAAGGCUCACCAAGCCAACGAUCUGUAGCUGGUCUGAGAGGACGACCAGCCACACUGGAACUGAGACACGGCCCAGACUCCUACGGGAGGCAGCAGUGGGGAAUUUUAGACAAUGGGCGCAAGCCUGAUCCAGCAAUGCCGCGUGCAGGAAGAAGGCCUUCGGGUUGUAAACUGCUUUUGUACGGAACGAAACGGCUCUGGUUAAUACCCGGGGCUAAUGACGGUACCGUAAGAAUAAGCACCGGCUAACUACGUG